rnacentral:ncRNA from 1 species
AAUUGCUAGGGGUGCAUAUGCUGAGACGGAAUUAAUUCCAACCCUCACUACCUGAUCCGGUUAAUACCGGCGUAGGGAAGCA